rnacentral:rRNA from 1 species
UACGGAGGGUGCAAGCGUUAUCCGGAUUCACUGGGUUUAAAGGGUGCGUAGGUGGGCAGUUAAGUCAGUGGUGAAAUCUUCGGGCUUAACCCGGAAACUGCCAUUGAUACUAUCUGUCUUGAAUACCGUGGAGGUGAGCGGAAUAUGUCAUGUAGCGGUGAAAUGCUUAGAUAUGACAUAGAACACCAAUUGCGAAGGCAGCUCACUACACGAAUAUUGACACUGAGGCACGAAAGCGUGGGGAGCAAACAGG